rnacentral:misc_RNA from 1 species
UCUCAGUCACAAUGCUGAUGUAAUCAGCAAGGACACCAUGAUCAGCCAUCUUCUCCAUUGCACCAAUGGCUCCCUUAAUAUCAUUUCUCUCCCAGUAUCUAUAUACAACCUGUAACUUUGCUAAACGAGACUGCAUGGAGCUGAUAAACUGAUCAUGCUGUUCCAUUGCAUCUGCAAUAGCAUCCUCAUCACUAGCAGAAACUGUUUCUUUUUCAGUAGAUGGGGAGCACCCUUUCGGUUUAAUCGUAUUGAAAGGAUGCAUGUUGACUGCAGAUGUCGUCCCAGGGAAACACCCAAAAGUUGGUCCCUCGUAAUUAGAUCUCCCCCUUUUUCCCCAAUUUAUGACCAGUGAAUGCAUUCUUCCUCCUUUCUGACUUUCAGUCAAGGUUGCAUCUCUGCUUACUUUAUGCCCCCGAGAAUCAUAAUUUUCUUCCUGGUAUCUAAUAGGAGGCUCUGUCAUCAAAUUUGAAUCCAGUUUUCCUGAUCCAAUAGGUCUAUCAUCUUUAAUAUUCCUCUCUGCAGUUGAGAUUCCAUGAAGUGAGCCUUUAACUGUAGGAGAAGUAUUCCUAUCUGCAAUACUGCUCAAUUCUGUAGUCUUGCAACUUGGAGACUCGGAAGGGAUAGAAAUGGCAGGUUGGUCCAUGUCAUCUCUGCUACUUUGAAAUUUUCUGUAAUCACUCGUCUUUGACUGCAAAGAAAAUGGCAUUGUUCUUCCAGCAAUUCCAAUUUCUUUUCUAGAUUCAGUUACUGGUUCUGGCCUCAUACUAGUUCUAGGGACAAUUACGGGUAUGACAUCUGCCUUGUUGAACAUUGGUGCAUUAACUGCCAAUUGGGCCUUUGUAGAAUUCCUUUUUGGAGCUGCUGCAUUAACUGUUAUCGGGCCAGCCAUGGUUGUCUUCACACCAGAGUUCAAGCUGACCCUUUGUGGAGUACUGGGUACACUUCCUGUGGAUGCCAAAACCUUUGACUCCUUAGUUGACUCCUUAACAGGAUCAGAAUUUUGAGAUACUGACAACCUUGCAAGAGAUUUUGUUUCCUUUACUAAAGAUUCUGAAUUUUGUGAAACAGAUAACCUUCCCAAACUGGUCUUUGCUGUAGAUUCAAG